CAGUGUUAUAGAAUCUUCGUGCGCGUUUUGGAUGGUUCAGCGGAUUACACCUUCUUGAACAGAGCGCUCCUUCUUAAGCCAUCUGCUGAGUGCUGCUUAGCCAGUCUUUAUCUGGAUUUCCACCUUUGAUGUUUGAUCGCUCUACUCCAUGCAUCGAAGGAAGAGAUCGUGAGGCAUUCUUGUGCUCUGUGGUCUUGUAAGAUGGCACUCAUGUUGUUGCCGGCGAUCGCGCCUGUAGAUAUAUCUGUUGGCCUUGGAUUUACUGAAGCGGUUCGACAAGGAGAUCGGUCACAGGGAAAGGUCUUUACGCCGAGACGAAGGCGGAGAUGGAGUCUGCAAUCACUCUAUGCUGAUUCGAAGUACGCAUGCGUGGAGUUUGAGCCGGAGAACACCAUGGGUUUGCCGCCUCCAUUAUCGAGCCUGGUGACCAGCGCAGCAGCAGCAGCAGCAGAGGCUGCAGUCUCUUUGGAGCAGAAGGUUUACGAUGUGAUUCUGAAGCAGUCAUCCCUGGUGAAGAAGAAGCUGGCGUUAACUACUGCUCUCGAUGUGAAGCCGGACUUGGCGAUCCCUGGAUCUUUGAGCUUGCUGAAGGAGGCUUAUGACACGUGUGGAGAAGUAUGUGGAGAGUACGCCAAGACCUUUUAGCUGGGAACACUGCUCCUGACUCCUGAGAGGAGGAGAGCAAUCUGGGCAAUAUAUGUGUGGUGCAGAAGAACAGAUGAGCUUGUGGAUGGGCCAAAUGCUUCCCAUAUCACACCGACAGCGUUGGACAGGUGGGAGUCGAGGCUGGAGGAUGUCUUUGCAGGCUGCCCAUAUGACAUGCUCGAUGCAGCUCUUUCUGAUACUGUCUCGAAGUACCCUGUUGAUAUCCAGUUGCAGCCGUUCAGGGACAUGAUCGAAGGAAUGCGAAUCGAUUUGAACAUGCCAAGAUAUCAGAACUUCGACGAACUCUAUCUUUAUUGCUAUUACGUCGCGGGAACUGUUGGACUGAUGAGCGUCCCUGUCAUGGGAAGCGCUCCCGAGUCGAAGGCGACGGCAGAGAGCGUUUACAGGGCUGCUUUGGCUUUGGGCAUCGCCAACCAGCUCACUAACAUACACGGGGACGUCGGCGAAGAUGCUAGAAGAGGAAGGAUCUAUCUGCCGCAGGAUGAGCUGGCUCGGUUUGGGCUGUCCGACGACGAGAUUUUCGACGGCAAGGUGACGGACAAAUGGAGGAGCUUCAUGAAGAACCAGAUUAAGAGGGCGAGGAUGUUCUUCAGAGCAGCAGAAGAUGGUGUGAGCGAGCUCAAUCAAGCCAGUAGAUGGCUGGUUUGGGCUUCUCUGCUGUUGCAUCAGCAGAUCCUCGACGAGAUCGAAGCGAAUGACUACAACAACUUCACGAAGCGCGCUUCUGCGAGCAAAGCAAAGAAGUUGAUGGCUCUGCCGGUGGCGUUGGGUAGAUCGCUCGUCACGCCAUCUUCUCUAAGGCAGUCAAGCUCAGCAAAGACACGAUUAGAAGGAAACCUGUGUCAUUGGAUCGAACCACCCACAUCAGAGAAGAAAAUGUUGACUUCAUCUUGGUGUCGAGCAAUGGCAAUGAUCCUCAAUUUCUUUGUCACGAGAUAUAUCGGAGAAAUCGCAGACUUCGUUGAGAGAGAGGUAUGCGAGGUUCUCGGCGUGAAGAAGGAGAUCGAAACGCUUCACCGGAGGCUGGAAACCAUCAAAGUUUAUCUUCAAGAUGCAGAUCGGAAGAGGCAUGACAGUGCCGCCAUCGAUGCCUGGGUGAGGAAGCUGAAAGAUGUCAUGUGCGACGCCGACGACGUUAUGGAUCUCUGCAUGAUGGAAGGUGGAAGAUUGUUGGAGGCUCCGCGAUCCGCCUCCGCAGUAAGCUCUCCUCUCCGCUUUGUUUCUUCCUGCUUUCGGUGCGCCAAAUACCGCCAUGAAAUCGCAGGCAGAAUCAGAGCACUUGACGAUCGGCUGAAGAAGAUGGCAGAGGAUAACGCCAUAAUAUCUACACUGCAGCUCACAAUCCAAGUGCCCCAAAUCUACGAAACAGUCUCACACGCGACAUCUCACUUGGAAGUCAAGGGGGACAUUGUCGGGGCACAAAUCGAGAUUGCCGCAGAGAAUCUCAUCGGUCGCAUACUCGAGGAAGACCAACAAAAGUGUCGUGUUUUUGGGAUUGUUGGGAUGGGUGGAAUCGGUAAGACCACUCUGGCACGUAAAAUCUUCAACGAUGAAAGGAUCAAAGAUAACUUUCCCAUCAGAAAAUGGUUGUACGUCCCCAAAAAUUAUUCCGACACCGAUCUGCUCAAGGAGCUAAUUAGGUGUGUAGCAGAAAGAUCCGAAGGAGGUGAACCUAAAGCCGAAACCUUUAAGGGGAAAAGUAGAGCAGAGUUGGAACCUAAACUCGCAUCUCUUCUCACGAGCAAUUUCUUUCUCGUAUUGGAUGAUGUAUGGAGUGCAAAUGUUUGGACAGAUUUGCUCAGGAGACCAAUAAUUACAGGAGAAGCUAGCAGUACGAUCUUAGUCACCACGAGAACAGUGAACGUGGCAAAAAUCAUGAAGUGCAGAUACACCCACCCGGUGGAGAAAAUGGAUGAAGAGAGUGGAUGGAAAUUGCUUCGAAAGAUAGUGUUUGAAGCUGGGGAGGAGGCCGAGAUCGCUGGGUUGGAAGAUACAGGUACCAGAAUAGUCGAAAUGUGCGACGGCCUUCCUCUUGCAAUCAAGGCCAUGGGAGGUGUUCUAAGUCCCAAGGAAAAAACCAAAGCAGAGUGGGAAAACGUCCUCCGAAGUGAUGCAUGGAGCAUGAACAGCACUGACAAAGAAUUACCGAGGGCUUUGCACUUGAGCUACGAGGACUUCCCACCUCAUCUGAAACAAUGCUUUCUCUACUGCUCUCUGUACCCUGAGAAAAGCGACCUGUACUACAAGGAAAUUGUUCGGCUUUGGGUAGCCGAAGGCCUUAUUCUAAAACAAGGAGAUCGGUUGGUGGAAGACAUAGCCGAGGAGUACUAUCGGGAACUGGUUUGCAGGAGCCUUCUGCAAGUGAAUCCAUCAUACGCAGAUCACAGUUACUUCUCGAUGCAUGAUCUUUACCGGACUCUCGGUGCAAAUUUGAUGCAAGAAGAAGGCAUUUCUAUCGUUCAUGGUCGAACGUUCACCACAAACACCAACACGAAGAUUCGAAGGCUGUCGGUGUCCAAAAUGGGGCAUAGAUUAGAGCUGCCUGAUGAAGUUAUGAGACACAAGUGUUUGAGGACUUUAAUUCUUGCCGACUCCUUCAACACCCUGACGAUCGAGGAGAAUUUGCUCAGAAGUCUACCACAUCUGCGAGUGUUGGAUCUGAGUAAUACAUCAAUAGAGGGAAUUCCAGAUUUCAUAGGGGAUCUGUUGCAUCUGAGAUACCUGAAUCUUAAUGGAACAAGCGUACAAGAGAUACCGGAAUCCAUAGGCCGCCUUGCGAACCUCCAAACUUUGAAUGUCUCUGAGUGCGAAAGCUUGCGCAAGCUUCCCAUGGCCAUCACCAGGCUGCACAAUCUGAGAUGUCUUCAUAUGGAGCAAACUCCACUGACUCACAUACCGAAAGGGAUCAGGAAGCUGGACAAAGUUAACAACCUUCAAGGAUUCGUCGUCGGCCAUGAGGACCCGACGAAGCCGGGACAGGGGUGUGCCUUGGAGGAGCUGCAGUCUCUUUGCAAGCUAAGCUGUCUGAGCAUAUCCAGUCUGGAGAGGGCGGUAGCGGGCGCAUCCGUGCUUGCGGAGAAACCUUUUCUUAAGGAGCUAACUUUAGGUUGGACGCCGCCGGCAGGCGGGGAAGAUGAAGACGAGGACGACGGAGAUGCGGAUGAUGGUGAGGACAGAGAAGACGAGGAGGACAAAGGAGAUAACACCCGGGUCGAAGGAGCAACAUGGAGCGAGGAGCAAAUCCAGGGAGCCGAGAAGAUAUGCAAUGAACUCUCUCCACCAUCGAGUCUACGAGAUCUUGCCUUGGAACAAUUCCCUGGUCGGCAAUUCCCGAGCUGGAUGAUGUCAACCUCACUCGGCGAAUUGUUCCCUGACCUGUUGUUCUUGGAGCUCUCCGACUUCCCGUCGUGCAUGGAGCUGCCCCCCUAGGCACGUUGCCCAAGCUGAAG